rnacentral:rRNA from 1 species
GACGAACGCUGGCGGCGCGCCUAACACAUGCAAGUCGAACGAGAGAUGAGGAGCUUGCUCUUCAAAUCGAGUGGCGAACGGGUGAGUAACGCGUGAGGAACCUGCCUCAAAGAGGGGGACAACAGUUGGAAACGACUGCUAAUACCGCAUAAGCCCACGGCUCGGCAUCGAGCAGAGGGAAAAGGAGCAAUCCGCUUUGAGAUGGCCUCGCGUCCGAUUAGCUGGUUGGUGAGGUAACGGCCCACCAAGGCGACGAUCGGUAGCCGGACUGAGAGGUUGAACGGCCACAUUGGGACUGAGACACGGCCCAGACUCCUACGGGAGGCAGCAGUGGGGAAUAUUGCACAAUGGGGGAAACCCUGAUGCAGCGACGCCGCGUGGAGGAAGAAGGUCUUCGGAUUGUAAACUCCUGUUGUUGAGGAAGAUAAUGACGGUACUCAACAAG